UUCUAGAUUCCACUUCCAUUAUACAACAGCAAAUAAUAUCAAUUUAAUUAAGAAAAUUGACUUAAAGUCGUCACCCUGCAUAACAGAAGGUGCAUUGCAAUUUCAACAAUUUUGACAUAUAUAUAUUAUGACAGACAAAGACUAGACCCCAGCUAUCAAUUUCAAGGGCAGAAAUAAUGCCAAACAGCAGAUUAAUCAUGCAGCAGUACUCAUGCCUCCGGGACUUGUAAAAAAAUGCUCAUAAUGCUUGCUAGCUGAGAGCUUGAGCUAGUUGAUGAACCUUUUAUCAAAUCAAUUAACCAUGCAGCGAUUUUGCAGUUCUGGACUUGUUAGACACUUUUCAGAGGUGCUAAUUACAUUAUGGCGGUGGCGGCCCCGUGUCAAAAAGAAUCUAGGAACCACCACAACACUGCUACUCUUUCUUCCACUCCUCAUAGCUACUGCUUUCAUUUCUUCCUUAUGGAAUUCUGAUACUGUAAGCAAUACCAACUUACAGCACUUGUUUUAAUUUUUCCUGCACAGAUAUAUUUCAAUUGAUUAUGAUCGAGUUAUUUGCGUUUUCGAUUAUUUUGCAGUCUAAUUUUUCUGUUCACAAUAUCUCAAGAAAUAAAACGGUGAUUAUCGUAUCCCGAAAGCCACAAAACCGGCCACCAAAAAGAAUCACAACCCCACUCAAUUGUGUCAAAAACCAAACCCAAACUUGCCCAACAAAUUACCCCAAAACAUCUCAAACACAAAAAUCAAUUUCAGAUUACUCAAUAACACCCACAUCCACAUGCCCAGAUUACUUUCGGUGGAUCCACGAAGAUCUAAGCCCCUGGAAAGUCACAGGAAUCACAAGGGACAUGUUAGAAAGAGCCAAUCAAACGGCUCAUUUUCGUCUAGUACUCGUCAACAACAAAGUAUAUAUCCAUAAGUACAAACAAUCAAUACAAACUAGAGACGUUUUCACCAUAUGGGGCAUCUUGCAACUCCUUAGAAAGUAUCCCGGAAGAUUACCGGACUUGGAGCUUAUGUUUGACUGCGAUGACCGCCCCGUCGUCCUAUCACGCGACUACAGCGGGCCAAACAACAAGGGCCCACCUCCGUUGUUUCGGUACAGUGGUGAUAGGUGGACGAUGGAUAUAGUGUUUCCUGAUUGGUCCUUCUGGGGAUGGUAAUGACUUCUUCUUCUUCUUCUUCAUCUUGUUGUUGCUCUCUCUUUUGAUUGCUGGUUGCGUGUUGCGUGUGUUUUUGUUUUCGUAUGGAAAUUGUAGAAUGCAUGCAUGUGAGGGACUUAAAUCGACUUGGACUCUAGCUACCAUCGUAGGCCACGUAGGGUAGAAGCGCACUGUAAUUAAUUUUGUUUUCUGAUAAUCAAGGGGUCCUACGCUAAUGACAUGCGACCAAACACAGAUUAUUUCACCUGAAUUUUAAUGCUAAUGCCCCGGGAUGGCAAGAC
rnacentral:lncRNA from 1 species